UCAGGCCUAACACAUGCAAGUCGAACGGCAGCACGGACUUCGGUCUGGUGGCGAGUGGCGAACGGGUGAGUAAUAUAUCGGAACGUGCCCAGUCGUGGGGGAUAACGUAGUGAAAAUUACGCUAAUACCGCAUACGAUCUACGGAUGAAAGCGGGGGAUCGCAAGACCUCGCGCGAUUGGAGCGGCCGAUAUCAGAUUAGGUAGUUGGUGAGGUAAAGGCUCACCAAGCCGACGAUCUGUAGCUGGUCUGAGAGGACGACCAGCCACACUGGAACUGAGACACGGUUCAGACUCCUACGGGAGGCAGCAGUGGGGAAUUUUGGACAAUGGACGCAAGUCUGAUCCAGCCAGUUCCGCGUGCAGGACGAAGGCCUUCGGGUU
rnacentral:rRNA from 1 species